AUCCAGCUAAUGACGAGUCCCAAAUUGGACGAAACGCGCGUUUUAACUGGAU
rnacentral:hammerhead_ribozyme from 1 species